GCUCACCUAGCACGUGCGAGGCCCUGGGUUCGAUCCUCAGCACCACGUAAAAAUAGAUAAAUAAUAAUAAAAAAGAAAGAAAGAGAGCAGGACUGAGAGGAGAUACACACAAAAACAGUACAACUCAGCAUUAGGACAAAAUGCAAUUCAGAAAUGGGGGAUCUGAACAGACGUGUCACCAAAGGAGACUGGCAGAGGGCCAAAUGCACACCAAACACGGCAACCUCAACAGGCGUCAGGGAGACCAAGGCCAAAGCCGCACGGAGUUCUCCACAGCGCUCACCAGAAUGGCCCACCGAAAGUGAGGGUGUGUUCAGCAAAGGCACAGAGCCCCUGGGACCCCCGGGGGGAGGGCCUGCAAAGGGCACAUCCCUGGGGGAAGAGCUGGUGGCUCCCUUCCCUCUCUGUCCUUCUGUGGCACUGCACACUGAGCCACCGUGCUCUACCUCUGAGCUACACCCCCAGCCCACUUUAAAAAUUUUUGAGGGCUAGGGUUGUGACUCACCAGUAGAGCGCUUGCCUAGUGUGUGCACAGCCCUGGGUUCGAUCCUUAACAUCACAUAAAAAUAAAAUAGUUAUUGUGUCCAAC
rnacentral:lncRNA from 1 species